GAGUUUGAUCCUGGCUCAGAGCGAACGCUGGCGGCAUGCUUAACACAUGCAAGUCGCACGGUCAGCAAUGGCAGUGGCGGACGGGUGAGUAACACGUAGGAAUCUAUCUCUGGGUGGGGGACAACAGUGGGAAACUACUGCUAAUACCGCAUGAUACCUGAGGGUCAAAGGCGUAAGUCGCCUGGAGAGGAGCCUGCGUCUGAUUAGCUUGUUGGUGGGGUAAAGGCCUACCAAGGCUACGAUCAGUAGCUGGUCUGAGAGGAUGAUCAGCCACAUUGGGACUGAGACACGGCCCAAACUCCUACGGGAGGCAGCAGUGGGGAAUAUUGGACAGUGGGCGAAAGCCUGAUCCAGCAAUGCCGCGUGUGUGAAGAAGGUCUUCGGAUUGUAAAGCACUUUUUGGCAGGGACGAUGAUGACGGUACCUGCAGAAUAAGCCCCGGCUAACUUCGUGCCAGCAGCCGCCGUAAU
rnacentral:rRNA from 1 species